AAGGCUUCAUUAGAAUGUCAUUAUAAGCUUUCAGCUUUGCACUACAUUUAAUUAGUCAAUGCUAUUGUUAGUGGAGCCAAAAUAGACGUUUCCCUCGCUAUCCAAUGCUUCUUUUGUGUUUCAUUCGGACGUCGGGAAACUACAUUC